rnacentral:lncRNA from 1 species
CCACAUCAGAAGGACAAACUAAGAACCUGUCCUUUAUUUGAGAUAAUCUAAGCAAAUCUUCAUGAAACUGAGUGGAUAGAUUACUAAAAGGGUUGGAUGAUGAGGGUGAAGGAUUGGGAAUGGUAGAGAGAGUAGGUGUUUCAGUAGCAGGGUUGUCAAUAAUUACAACAUCUGCCUCUGAAGGCUUGGGAGCACAAGUGUGAAUAUGCUCAGGAGAAGCAUGUUC